rnacentral:rRNA from 1 species
AUUGAACGCUGGCGGCAUGCUUUACACAUGCAAGUCGAACGGUAACAGGUUAAGCUGACGAGUGGCGAACGGGUGAGUAAUGCAUCGGAACGUGCCCGAUCGUGGGGGAUAACGUAGCGAAAGUUACGCUAAUACCGCAUACGAUCUGAGGAUGAAAGCGGGGGACCGUAAGGCCUCGCGCGAUCGGAGCGGCCGAUGUCAGAUUAGGUAGUUGGUGGGGUAAAGGCCCACCAAGCCGACGAUCUGUAGCUGGUCUGAGAGGACGACCAGCCACACUGGGACUGAGACACGGCCCAGACUCCUACGGGAGGCAGCAGUGGGGAAUUUUGGACAAUGGGCGCAAGCCUGAUCCAGCAAUGCCGCGUGCAGGAAGAAGGCCUUCGGGUUGUAAACUGCUUUUGUUCGGAGCGAAAAGGCUCUCUCUAAUACAGGGGGCUCAUGACGGUACCGUAAGAAUAAGCACCGGCUAACUACGUGCCAGCAGCCGCCGUAACAC